AGUCUUGGAAAGAGAGGAGAAAAUUAUCUCUCCAAGAAAAGGACGGACCUCACCUCAAACUCUGGUAAGAUGGCUACUCUUAAGACUAAACAGUGUCUAAACCUCGUAACUCGAUUCAUCAACUCUCGAACUCCACCUUUUCAUUACAAAAAUACCCGCACUCUCCAAACCCUAGCUUUCAAAGAAAUCCAAUCUUCACCCAACAAACCUGACGCGCCUACAGCUUUCAUUCUCCACGGGCUCUUAGGUUCUGGUCGCAACUGACGUUCUUUCUCUCGCAAUCUCGCUUCCUCUUUUUCUGAGUGGAGGAUGGUGCUUGUGGAUAUGAGGAACCAUGGCAAAUCUGUUGAUAUAGAGGGAUUAGACCCACCUCAUAAUAUGUUUAAUGCGGCUAUGGAUGUGGCUAAUUUGGUGAAAGAGAAAGGUUGGGAAUGGCCUGAUGUUGUUAUUGGUCAUUCUAUGGGAGGCAAAGUUGCUUUGCAAUUUGCUGAGAGCUGCACUCGUGGUGAUUAUGGUCAUUCUGUUUCUUUUCCUAAACAGCUGUGGGUACUGGAUUCUGUGCCUGUAGAAGUAAGUCCUGAAUAUAGUGAUGGAGAAGUUGAAAAAGUUUUGAGGACCUUGCAUAGUUUACCCUCACCAAUCCCAUCACGAAGCUGGCUUGUGAACCAUAUGAUUCAACUUGGUUUCUCAAAAUCAUUAUCAGAAUGGAUUGGAAGCAACCUCAAGAAAUCUGGAGAGCAAGAGAGUUGGGCCUUUGAUCUCAAAGGUGCUAUCCAGAUGUUCAACUUUUACAGGUCAACCUCUAUUUUUUUUUAUCGAAUCAAUCAAAUUUAAAUGCCUUCCUUUGUGGAAUAUAAAUAAUGACAUUGACAGUCUAAAUAGUGAAUAUAAAAAUUCUAUAAGGAGACUUCAUAUUGGUCUCUGCUGGAACAUCCACCAAAAGGAAUGGAGAUAGGACUAGUAGUUGCAGAGAAGAGUGACCGCUGGGAUCCAGAUUUAAUUCAGCGACUUGAAAGCCUUUCUUGCCGGACCAGGGAUGAAUCUGAGGGGAAGUUCUCGCUUCAUGUUCUUCCAAAUUCAGGGCACUGGGUUCAUGUGGACAAUCCAAAGCGACUUCUUGAGAUUGUGACUCCCAGGAUGGCUUCCCUUUCGACAUAAUCGUAUGGAUUUUAGGUUGUGAUUUGUAAGUCAGAUUUGCUACAAAAGUAUGAUCAAAUUACCAGUAUUCCAGAUCAUUUGGAUAGUACUGUUUUUUUCCACUGUGAUGCAACAGGUUGAUUUUUUCUAGUCAUGCUUGAACAAUAUGAAUAAUUGAUCUUUUCUUUGCAAGUAAAUGUUUGGGAAUGGUUAAGUGCCUAAUAAAAAACAACCAUAACGGAAGGCAAAUUACCUGUAA